GAUGAACGCUGGCUACAGGCUUAACACAUGCAAGUCGAGGGGAAACGACGGGGAAGCUUGCUUCCCCGGGCGUCGACCGGCGCACGGGUGAGUAACGCGUAUCCAACCUGCCUCUGACUGAGGGAUAACCCGUCGAAAGUCGGCCUAAUACCUCAUGGCAUCGUCUGCGGGCAUCCAACGACGAUUAAAGAUUUCAUCGGUCAGGGAUGGGGAUGCGUCUGAUUAGCUAGUUGGCGGGGUAACGGCCCACCAAGGCGACGAUCAGUAGGGGUUCUGAGAGGAAGGUCCCCCACAUUGGAACUGAGACACGGUCCAAACUCCUACGGGAGGCAGCAGUGAGGAAUAUUGGUCAAUGGGCGAGAGCCUGAACCAGCCAAGUAGCGUGCAGGAUGACGGCCCUGUGGGUUGUAAACUGCUUUUAUGCGGGGAUAAAGUGAGGGACGUGUCCUUCAUUGCAGGUACCGCAUGAAUAAGGACCGGCUAAUUCCGUG
rnacentral:rRNA from 1 species